AACGAACGCUGGCGGCAGGCCUAACACAUGCAAGUCGAGCGCUCUCUUCGGAGGGAGCGGCGGACGGGUGAGUAACGCGUGGGAACGUGCCCUUUGGUGCGGAACAACCGCUGGAAACGGCGGCUAAUACCGCAUGACGUCCCCUGUAGAGAUACGGGGGACCAAAGAUUUAUCGCCAAGGGAUCGGCCCGCGUCGGAUUAGGUAGUUGGUGGGGUAACGGCCCACCAAGCCGACGAUCCGUAGCUGGUUUGAGAGGAUGAUCAGCCACACUGGGACUGAGACACGGCCCAGACUCCUACGGGAGGCAG
rnacentral:rRNA from 1 species